rnacentral:tRNA from 3 species
GCGCCUGUAGCUCAACAGGAUAGAGCAGCGGAUUUCUAAUCCGCUGGUUGGGGGUUCGAGUCCUCCCAGGCGCG